AUUUAUAUAGUUUAACAAAAACAUUACAUUUUCAUUGUAAAAAUAAAGUAAAACUUUUAUAAGUA
rnacentral:tRNA from 1 species